rnacentral:rRNA from 1 species
UACAGAGGUCCCGAGCGUUGUUCGGAUUCACUGGGCGUAAAGGGUGCGCAGGUGGGUUGGCAAGUUUGAUGUGAAAGCCCCCGGGCUUAACCCGGGAAUGGCAUUGAAUACUGCUGAUCUGGAGGAUCGGAGGGGGGACUGGAAUUCUUGGUGUAGCAGUGAAAUGCGUAGAUAUCAAGAGGAACACCAGUGGCGAAGGCGAGUCCCUGGACGAUACCUGACACUGAGGCACGAAAGCCAAGGGAGCAAACAGG